GGGAAUAUUGCACAAUGGAGGAAACUCUGAUGCAGUGACACCGCGUAUAGGAAGAAGGUUUUCGGAUUGUAAACUAUUUUAGACAGGGAAGAAAAAAGACAGUACCUGUAGAAUAAGCUCCGGCUAACUACGUGCCAGCAGCCGCGGUAAUACGUAGGGAGCAAGCGUUAUCCGGAAUUAUUGGGUGUAAAGGGUGCGUAGACGGGACAGCAAGUUAGUUGUGAAAGCCCUCGGCUUAACUGAGGAACUGCAACUAAAACUAUUGUUCUUGAGUGCAGGAGAGGAAAGCGGAAUUCCUAGUGUAGCGGUGAAAUGCGUAGAUAUUAGGAGGAACACCAGUGGCGAAGGCGGCUUUCUGGACUGUAACUGACGUUGAGGCACGAAAGUGUGGGGAGCAAACAGGA
rnacentral:rRNA from 1 species